GACGAACGCUGGCGGCGUGCUUAACACAUGCAAGUCGAACGGAAGGACCCUGCUUUUGUGGGGUGCUCGAGUGGCGAACGGGUGAGUAACACGUGAGUAACCUGCCCUUGACUUUGGGAUAACUUCAGGAAACUGGGGCUAAUACCGGAUAGGAGCUCCUGCUGCAUGGUGGGGGUUGGAAAGUUUCGGCGGUUGGGGAUGGACUCGCGGCUUAUCAGCUUGUUGGUGGGGUAGUGGCUUACCAAGGCUUUGACGGGUAGCCGGCCUGAGAGGGUGACCGGCCACAUUGGGACUGAGAUACGGCCCAGACUCCUACGGGAGGCAGCAGUGGGGAAUAUUGCACAAUGGGCGGAAGCCUGAUGCAGCAACGCCGCGUGCGGGAUGACGGCCUUCGGGUUGUAGACCGCUUUCGCCUGUGACGAAGCGUGAGUGACGGUAAUGGGUAAAGAAGCACCGGCUAACUACGUG
rnacentral:rRNA from 1 species